AGUAGGGAAUCUUGCGCAAUGGGCGAAAGCCUGACGCAGCGACGCCGCGUGCGGGAAGAAGGCCUUCGGGUUGUAAACCGCUUUCAGGAGGGACGAAGCCACUCGGGUUAAUAGCCCAGAGGGUGACGGUACCUCCAGAAGAAGCCCCGGCUAACUACGUGCCAGCAGCCGCGGUAAUACGUAGGGGGCAAGCGUUGUCCGGAUUCAUUGGGCGUAAAGAGCGUGUAGGCGGCCAGGUAGGUCCGUUGUGAAAACUCGAGGCUCAACCUCGAGACGCCGAUGGAAACCAUCUGGCUAGAGUCCGGAAGAGGAGAGUGGAAUUCCCGGUGUAGCGGUGAAAUGCGCAGAUAUCGGGAAGAACACCCGUGGCUAAGGCGGCUCUCUAGUACGGUACUGACGCUGAGACGCGAAAGCGUGGGGAGCGAA
rnacentral:rRNA from 1 species